rnacentral:rRNA from 1 species
GGUAACGCUGUGCCAGCAGGCGAGGGUAUGCCGAGUGGGAACGGGGUAAGCUGAAUGACUGGGCGUAAAGCGCACUUAGGUGGCUGGGUAAGUUGGAUGUGAAAUGCACGGGCUUAACUUGGGAAUUGCAUUCAAGACUGCCUUGCUAGAGUGUGGAAGAGGGAAGCGGAAUUCCAGGUGUAGCGGUGAAAUGCGUAGAUAUCUGGAGGAACAUCAGUGGCGAAGGCGGCUUCCUGGUCCAACACUGACACUGAGGUGCGAAAGCGUGGGGAGCAAACAGGAUUAGAUACCCGAGUAGUC